rnacentral:rRNA from 1 species
AUUGAACGCUGGCGGCAGGCCUAACACAUGCAAGUCGAGCGAGAGGCGGACGCGGGAGAGUAAUGUGGGAAAAUGCCUGAUGUAGGGGGAGAACAACUGGAGAAGGUAGCUAAUACCGCAUACCAUCAGAAGGGCCCAGAUGGGAUGAGCUAGUGGGUGGGGUAAUGGCUCUCCUAGGCGACGAUCCCUAGCUGGUCUGAGAGGAUGACCAGCCACACGGGAACGAGGACAGGGCCCAGACUCCUACGGAAGGCAGCAGUGGGGAAUAUUGCACAAUGGGCGCAAGCCUGAUGCAGCCAUGCGGCGUGUUUGAAGAAGGCCUUCGGGUUGUAAAGCACUUUCAGCGGGGAGGCGUUACCCGCAGAAGAAGCACCGGCUAACUCCGUGCCAGCAGCCGCGGUAAUUC